GAUGAAGAACGUAGCGAAAUGCGAUAAGUAAUGUGAAUUGCAGAAUUUCCGUGAGUCAUCGAAUCUUUGAACGCACAUUGCGCCCCUUGGUAUUCCGAGGGGCAUGCCUGUUCGAGCGUCAUUAUAACCCCUCAAGCUCAGCUUGGUGUUGGGGCCUGCUGCACUGGCAGCCCUUAAAAUCAGUGGCGGCGCCAUCUGGCUCUAAGCGUAGUAAUUCUUCUCGCUAUGGAGUCCUGGUGGAUGCUUGCCAUCAACCCCCAAUUUUUCUAUGGUUGACCUCGGAUCAGGUAGGGAUACCCGCUGAACUUAAGCAUAUCAAUAAGCGGAGGA
rnacentral:misc_RNA from 1 species